CUUUACGGCGUGUUUGCGGCUGCUCUUUUCAUGUGUGUGGCGAGGUCCUGGGUUCCGCCUGUCGGAGGGUCAGGAUGGGCUCAGACCUCUGCCCCAACCCUCAGGCCUUCUGAGUAGAGGUCUCUGCUACCAAUGACGCUUCGCUAAGCCAGAGAAAUGACUCUUCAGGAAUUGGUACAUCGGGCUGCCUCCAUUUAUUCAGAUAAAAUAGCUGUAUGUUUUGAUGAGUGUAACAACCAGUCUCCAGUUUAUUGCACCUAUAAGUCUGUGGUUCAUGCUGCUUCAGAAUUAUCAGAUUUUCUUCUAUUACACUGUGACUUUCAAGGAAUUCGGGAAGUUGGUCUCUACUGCUAUCCUGGGAUUAACUUACCCUCUUGGAUUUUAGGAAUUCUCCAAGUCCCUGCUGCUUAUGCUCCUGUUGAUCCAGAUGCACCACCAGUGUUAUCAAUGCAUUUUAUGAAAAAAUGCAAUCUAAGAUAUAUUCUUGUUGAAAAACAGCAAAUUAAUAAAUUCAAAUCUUCCUAUGAAACAUUAUUGAAUUAUGAUACACUUACAGAACACAAUGACUUAGUACUCUUCAGGCUUCACUGGGAAAAUGUUGAAGUGAGCUUCAUGUUAAGUGACAGAAAACAGGAAUAUGAAGAAGGAAAAAUGACAGACAGUACAAAUUCUGAGAACAGCAAUGAAGAAAAGUCAGAAGAGCACACUGAUGUGAGGCUGAAGCAUUGCUUGGCCUAUGUUCUCCAUACCUCAGGCACUACAGGGAUACCUAAGAUUGUCAGAGUCCCUCAUGCAUGUAUAAUGCCAAACAUCCAGCAUUUUCGGCUACUUUUCGAGAUCACACAAGAAGAUGUUUUGUUUCUGGCCUCACCUCUAACCUUUGACCCCUCCGUUGUGGAAAUAUUUGUUGCCCUAUCCAGUGGUGCCCGUCUGCUUAUUGUACCAACUUCUGUCAAAGUGCUUCCAUCAAAGUUAGCCACUGUUCUCUUUUCACAUCACAGAGUAACUAUUUUGCAGGCAACACCAACAUUGCUUAGAAGAUUUGGAUCUCAGCUUAUCAAGUCAACUGUUUUAUCAGCCAAUACUUCUCUUCGAGUAUUAGCCCUUGGUGGUGAAGCAUUUCCAUCAUUGACUGUUCUCAAAAGCUGGAGAGCAGUAGGCAAUAAAACACAAAUAUUUAAUAUUUAUGGUAUCACAGAGGUAUCAAGCUGGGCAACUUUUUACAAGAUUCCAGAGAAAUUUCUUAAUUCUACUUUAAAAUGUGAGUUGCCUGUACCACUGGGAUUUCCACUGCUUGGAACAGUAGUUGAAGUCAGAGAUACUAAUGGUUUCACAAUUCAAGAAGGCAAUGGCCAAGUAUUUUUAGGUGGCAAAAACAGAGUGUGUUUUCUUGAUGAUGAAAUGGUAGUACCGCUGGGUACACUGCGAGCCACAGGAGACUUGGUGAUGGUGAAAGAAGGGGAGAUGUUUUUCUUGGGACGAAAGGACAGUCAGAUCAAACGACAUGGCAAACGUCUUAACAUUGAACUUGUGCAACAAGUUGCUGAAGGACUUCCACACGUGGAGUCCUGCGCAGUUACAUGGUAUAAUCAGGAGAAAUUAAUUCUGUUCGUGGUGUCCAAAAGUGAUGUAGUAAAGGAAAACAUCUUUAAAGAACUGCAGGAACAUCUUCCAAGCCAUGCAAUCCCGGAUGAACUUGUGUUGAUUGAGUCUUUACCGUUUACAUCUCAUGGCAAAAUUGAUGUUUCUGAGUUAAACAAGAUAUAUUUAAACGAUAUAAACUUGAAGUCUGAGUGUAAACUCAAUGGUAAAGAGGAACUUUGGGAAAAAUUACAACAUUUGUGGAAGUCUAUUCUGAGUCUCCCAGAACAUCCUUUGAAGGUUCCUGAUGAGUCACUCUUCUUACAUAGUGGUGGAGAUUCCUUAAAGUCCAUGCGGCUCCUCAAUGAGAUUGAAAAACUAAUUGGCACAUCAGUACCUGGGCUUCUGGAAAUUAUUCUUAACAAUUCCAUUUUAGAGAUUUACAAUCAUGUCCUUCAGACGGUGUUUCCAGAUGAACAUCUGCUAUUUAGCAAGAAUUAUGCCGCAAAAAGAAGAUUCAGUGACAUUAAUCAAGAGGAAACUAGUGGAAAAUCUUUACGACAGAAAUCUGUCCUGACUUUAAGUUGUGACAGGGAGCUAGCUGCUUUUAUUGCAGUGAGCAGAGGGAGUCAAAUUUUGUCACUGAAUUCGGAGUUUUUAACUAAAUUAGGACUUGGCUCUUCAGCCCGUUCUUCAGAUUUAAUUUCACAGACUAAUAUUCAAAAUGUGACAAGCUUAAAUCCUCCAGCUCUUCUUGGGAAGUCAAAAGAUCCAUCCUGUGUUGCAAAAGUUUCUGACGAGGGAACACCUGUGAUAGCAGCCAGGAAAAUGGAGCUCCGUGUGAGGUGGAGGACGGACACAGGCAAAUGUGUGGACGCCUCCCCCCUGCUUGUCAUCUCCGCUGCUGAUAGGUCCACCGCGACUGUGUACAUUGGCUCCCAUUCCCACAGAAUGAUGGCAGUUGACCUUUACUCCGGGAAGGUGAAAUGGGAACAGAUUUUGGGAGGUCGAAUUGAAUCCUCAGCAUGUGUAUCUAAGUGUGGAAACUUUAUUGUAGUGGGCUGUUAUAAUGGAUUAGUUUAUGUUCUGAAAAGUAAUAGUGGAGAAGAACACUGGGUGUUUACUACCGAGGAUGCCGUCAAAAGCUCAGCAGCCGCGGAUCCAACCACAGGACUCCUUUACGUUGGGUCUCAUGACCAGCAUGCAUAUGCUUUGGAUGUUUAUAAAAAGAAGUGUGUUUGGAAGUUAAAAUGUGGAGGAACUGUCUUUUCUUCCCCUUGUUUGAGCCUGAGGCCACAUCAUCUAUACGUGGCUACACUGGGAGGGCUGUUACUGGCUAUAAAUCCUGCCACUGGGAACACAGUUUGGAAACAUUCCUGUGGAAAACCACUCUUUUCUUCUCCACGGUGUUGCCUGCAGUAUAUUUGUAUUGGCUGUGUCGAUGGAAAUUUAUUCUGCUUUACUCACUUUGGAGAACAGGUUUGGCAGUUCUCUACCAGUGAACCAAUCUUUUCAUCCCCAUGUGCCUCAGCAUCAGAGCAAGAAAUAGUUUUCGGUUCCCAUGAUCGCUUUAUCUACUGUUGUAGCAUGAAAGGUCACCUCCAGUGGAAGUUUGAAACUACUUCACAGGUGUAUGCGACACCAUUUGCUUUCUGUUACCAGGAUUGUAACAACAAAAUGUUGGUGGCAGCAGCAUCUACUGAUGGCAAACUGUGGAUCUUGGAAUCUAAGAGUGGACGAUUACAAAGUGUAUAUGAACUUCCUGGCCAGGUCUUCUCUUCUCCUGUGGUCUGGGACUCUAUGCUUCUUAUCGGAUGUAGAAAUAAUUAUGUUUAUUGUCUGGAUUUGUUGAGUGGCUAUCAAAUAUGACCAAGUACAGUCCUUAUUCGAUUAUCUGAGAUUUUGAAAGUAUUUUAUCAUUAUAAAGUAUUUGGAUUGUCUUAUUUUAUACUAAAGAUUAUUUUUGCUUAAGAAACUUAUCUAUGACACUUUAUUGGAGAAUGAUCAUAUUUUACUUCCUGUAGCAGGAACAAAUGCUUUUAAAAGGAAUUACAGAACAAAAACAUCAGUUUAUUUAAAAGCACUUUCUUUUAAUUAGGCUGCAGAUAUUUCACUUUGGGUGUUUUUUUAAUAGACUUAUGUGGAAAAGAAGAUUCGAGUAUACUUGUUGGGUUAAAAACUCAGUCCAUGAUAUAAUGUACCGUUUACUUAUUUACAGUGAGAUCCAUAACGAAAGGUUUUCAGAGGUAGAAUGUUUUUAUCAAAUUAGAUUCUUUAUUAAUAUUUAAUAUUUUAAGUGAAAAAAUACUAGAACUGUUUCUAUGUAUUUCUCUUCCUAUAAUAGUUUCAAGUUGAUUUACCCUCUUUUUUCAGUUUUUCAUAUACAAACCUUGAAUAUUUUUGUACCUAUAUUUCUCAAUUUAUUAGAUUUUGUGAAUGUAUGGUUUUAUUUAUUUAUUUCACUGGCUUGGAGGUAGGAAACACAACAAAAAACCAGGGAAGAAAAAAAAAACUAUAUACUUGUGAGUAUCCUGAUUCUCAUAAUGAGGAUGGUUGUGGCUGGAGCUGCUUCUCCAGUGCUGACUAGUCCUUUGCUUCUAUUUGCAUUUGCUUGGUAUGAAGUUGCCUGCGUGAACUUCUGCCUGCUCCUGGGAGCUGUGCCUGUACGUGUCUCCUCUUGCACCUUGUCUUGGUCCAUGAUUUGCUUUAACCAACAGAAUGCAGUGGGGGUGACACUAAAGUCAUGUCUGAGCUGAAGACUGAAGAAGGCCUGGGCGCUUCUGUUCUCAUGGGAUCCCAGAGCUGCCACACUGGAAGUCUGGCCGCUGGACGGAGAGGCCGCGUGGUGAGGAAUGGCCCUGACGUUCACUAAGAAAGCGGAGGAAGCCACGGAACAGGGACAGUCUGAAGGUCCAGUAUGUAUAAUAUUAAAUCCGACUUGCGAGAGUACAACUCCCCACUUGACCACACUUGUGAGUUGCUACCAUGAGGCCGAGCCGAGUUUCCAGAAGAUGCCUUCAAGAUGGGAAAUGACAGAAUAACAACACAUCGCCUGCUGGGGGAGCUCUCCAUGAUGGAUACUGAUCUAACGUGUUUCUGGAGGAGAGGAAACAGGAAAUGGGACCCCUCCCCUGCACGGAGCAAAGGCUAUGGACUUGUGGAGUCAGAAUCUCAGAAAAGGAGAAGAUGCCAACACCGUGACAUAGGAAGUGCAGGUUUGCUGGUAUGUCUACGCUUCAUGCUUUUAAACUGCCAGGCCCUUCUUUGGACCACAUGUAUGGAGUAACAAGGCCACUUAAGACUCUGAGAUGUUCUUUAAAGGUAGCAAGGUGAAUGCUCAAAAUUAUAAAUGCUAUUGAACAUUUGACUCUCUAUAUUAAUUACUUGAUUAUGGUAAAGAAAGAAACUUUCCAUAGGAAGUCCUUAGUUCAAAGGCUCCAAAUCUUCACUUCCUAUCAAUUUUCCCUAAAGACCUAAGGGAAUAUUAAUAUUCAGAGACCUGUAAUGUCAGUAACCUCUCCUAUCUCAUAAUAAAUGGCUGGUUUGGGGGAUUGGCUUA